AGCUGUUCCCCUCUGGAGGUUUUGACCUUCAAACUUAUCAGGCCGCGGAAAUAUCCAGCGGCCUUUUUUUUGCCGAUG
rnacentral:misc_RNA from 1 species